AAACUGUGAAUAUGGUAACUCUGCUUUAAGCUAAAUAAUGUCGGCAACAAGUGAAAGUUCUUUUAUCACUCCUUUUUCACAGAUGCUUUAUCUUUCCGAUUCUGAAAAUACUGAAUAUGCGGCUCUGACACAAAAGGAAAAGAAUGAUAAAGUGUCAAAGAUUGAUUUAACAGUUUUAUCUCCAUCCAACAGUAAACAAGCUAAGAAACACAUCGACCAUUACAAUGAAGAACAAUCUUUUGAGAAAAUAUUCUGUGUACAAUCUAACGGAUGUAUAAACUGUACCCAGUCUACUGAACGAAAUGAAGUUGAAUCAAUAUUUUCGAAAAACAGUGUUUAUUCGAAUCCAUCUACAUGUCUCUUCCAAAAACCGUGUAUUGGUGGAAAAAUUCAAUCGGUAGAAAAUGAUAAUUAUAACCAUAAGAAGAAAUCAUUGCAAAAUAGUAUGAAUACAAACGUAAAUAUAUCAGCAAGAAUCAACAUAAAUAUAGUAUUGUCUGAAACAAGCGAAUCUGACGAACAAAUUGAGUUAGAUUCAAAUAAUAAACAAACAUUCUAUAUUAACGAAGAAAUGGAAAACAUUCUGACGAAUAUCUAUGGUAGGAAGUGGCGGACAUUUAGAAUGAAGAAAUACUUAUCUUGUCAGUAGCUAGUAAGUUGCAUUACGCUCGUAAUGAAAUAGUAUUUUGUAGUAGAACAUGCUGAUUAAUCUGAUAAAAUAUUAACGGUAAACAUCGAAAAUGAUCUCAUGUAUUCUGAAUACAAUGAAACUAAAAAGGAUUGAUUUUUUGAAUAAAUAAAACCGUUCUAACGAAAA